CCCCGCCGGCAGCCUCGAAUUCGCGAAGCAGCUCGGCCGCGCGAUGCGCGAGCAGGGCAUGACACCGACCGCGCACCACGCGGAAAAGAUCCCGGGCGAAGGGCGCGAUUUUGUCGUGCCGGAGUUCGGUGUUUAUCGGUUCAACGACCUGCUCGUGCUGAAGCGCGCGCGGAUGGCGGCGGCGUUGUUGGAAUGCGGUGUGAUCGUGCACCCGCAAGAGGAAUAGGAGCUGAACACUGCCGAGCGCCAGCGGCAGAUCGUGGCUGCGGUGCGCAUGGCUGUUCUCAACGUCAGUGCCUCGCUCCGCGAACG
rnacentral:misc_RNA from 1 species